rnacentral:tRNA from 1 species
UUCCCCGCUGGAAGGCGCGGCUCGCCUUCCGCCUGAUGGCGGCGAGCGACGGCGGUCGUGUCCCGCUGGACCUGCAGAUCCUUUCCGCCGGGGAGGC